UACGUAGGGGGCGAGCGUUGUCCGGAUUUAUUGGGCGUAAAGAGCUCGUAGGUGGCUUGUCGCGUCUGCCGUGAAAGCCCAUGGCUUAACUGUGGGUCUGCGGUGGAUACGGGCAGGCUGGAGGCUGGUAGGGGCAAGCGGAAUUCCUGGUGUAGCGGUGAAAUGCGCAGAUAUCAGGAGGAACACCGGUGGCGAAGGCGGCUUGCUGGGCCAGUUCUGACGCUGAGGAGCGAAAGCGUGGGGAGCGAACAGG
rnacentral:rRNA from 1 species